UGUAUAUGGGAUGGUCCAAAGCAAAGGGAGAGAGAGGGCCAAGUGGGAGUAACCAAGAAAGCCCAGUUCACUGAGUGUGGCCACCAUGGAAGUGGUGAGAAAUGAAGCCUUGGAAAUAAUGCCAGGUCCUCGGAGGCCUUGAAAGUAUCCCAGAAAGGAAUUGAGACUAUCCUAAAGGCUGUGGGUGUCACUGAAAUCCCUGCAUUUGGGAGGGAUCUCUUAGCUGCAGUGUGAAGAAAGGACUGGACAGCGUUACACUUGGAGGUCAAAUGCUGGUUGCACUUGGAGGUCAGAGAGGACCAUGACAGACUGUAUCAGAAUGGCAGCAGUGGAGAUGGAAGGAGAUGGGUGGAUUCUACCCUGAAAGUAAUCCCAGAAGACAUCCAGAAAAGGGGCAAGGACUCUCUAAAUGUGUCUGCUCACCUCUGCCAUGUGCAUUUCUGGUGGCUCAGUGGAAAAAAGCUGUCAGAGGAAAUUAGCAAACACAAAAAUCUUGCAUGUGCUGUGGAUGGAAACUGUGCAUUCAAGCACCUGACCCUGUGGGUAAUCAGAGAGCAAUUAAGCCUCACUUGCUAGAUAGAAUCUGGCUAUUGCAGACCAAAAUGGAUUUGAAGUGGAUGGGAGUGAUUAAGCACAGGCUUGUGGCAGUACCCUGACGGGGCAAUUAUAGCUGCAGGAAAAUGUGAUGAUCUGACCAAGUGAGAAGGGGGCUAAUUACAGAAGCCG
rnacentral:lncRNA from 1 species